GGGUUGUGAGGUUAAGCGACUAAGCGUACACGGUGGAUGCCCUGGCAGUCAGAGGCGAUGAAGGACGUGCUAAUCUGCGAAAAGCGUCGGUAAGGUGAUAUGAACCGUUACAGCCGGCGAUGUCCGAAUGGGGAAACCCAGUGCAAUUCGUUGCACUAUCGUUAACUGAAUACAUAGGUUAACGAGGCGAACCGGGGGAACUGAAACAUCUAAGUACCCCGAGGAAAAGAAAUCAACCGAGAUUCCCCCAGUAGCGGCGAGCGAACGGGGAGCAGCCCAGAGUCUGAAUCAGCUUGUGUGUUAGUGGAACGGUCUGGAAAGUCCGACGGUACAGGGUGAUAGUCCCGUACACCAAAAUGCACAGGCUGUGAACUCGAAGAGUAGGGCGGGACACGUGGUAUCCUGUCUGAAUAUGGGGGGACCAUCCUCCAAGGCUAAAUACUCCUGACUGACCGAUAGUGAACCAGUACCGUGAGGGAAAGGCGAAAAGAACCCCGGCGAGGGGAGUGAAAAAGAACCUGAAACCGUGUACGUACAAGCAGUGGGAGCACCUUCGGGUGUGACUGCGUACCUUUUGUAUAAUGGGUCAGCGACUUAUAUUCUGUAGCAAGGUUAACCGUAUAGGGGAGCCGCAGGGAAACCGAGUCUUAACUGGGCGUUAAGUUGCAGGGUAUAGACCCGAAACCCGGUGAUCUAGCCAUGGGCAGGUUGAAGGUUGGGUAACACUAACUGGAGGACCGAACCGACUAAUGUUGAAAAAUUAGCGGAUGACUUGUGGCUGGGGGUGAAAGGCCAAUCAAACCGGGAGAUAGCUGGUUCUCCCCGAAAGCUAUUUAGGUAGCGCCUCGUGAAUUCAUCUUCGGGGGUAGAGCACUGUUUCGGCUAGGGGGUCAUCCCGACUUACCAACCCGAUGCAAACUACGAAUACCGAAGAAUGUUAUCACGGGAGACACACGGCGGGUGCUAACGUCCGUCGUGAAGAGGGAAACAACCCAGACCGCCAGCUAAGGUCCCAAAGUCACAGUUAAGUGGGAAACGAUGUGGGAAGGCACAGACAGCCAGGAUGUUGGCUUAGAAGCAGCCAUCAUUUAAAGAAAGCGUAAUAGCUCACUGGUCGAGUCGGCCUGCGCGGAAGAUGUAACGGGGCUAAACUGUGCACCGAAGCUGCGGCAGCGACACUUAGGUGUUGUUGGGUAGGGGAGCGUUCUGUAAGCCUGCGAAGGUGGCCUGUGAGGGUUGCUGGAGGUAUCAGAAGUGCGAAUGCUGACAUAAGUAACGAUAAUGCGGGUGAAAAGCCCGCACGCCGGAAGACCAAGGGUUCCUGUCCAACGUUAAUCGGGGCAGGGUGAGUCGACCCCUAAGGCGAGGCCGAAAGGCGUAGUCGAUGGGAAACAGGUUAAUAUUCCUGUACUUGGUGUUACUGCGAAGGGGGGACGGAGAAGGCUAUGUUAGCCGGGCGACGGUUGUCCCGGUUUAAGCAUGUAGGCGGAGGUUCCAGGUAAAUCCGGUACCUUUUAACGCUGAGGUGUGAUGACGAGGCACUACGGUGCUGAAGUAACAAAUGCCCUGCUUCCAGGAAAAGCCUCUAAGCAUCAGGUAACAUUGAAUCGUACCCCAAACCGACACAGGUGGUCAGGUAGAGAAUACCAAGGCGCUUGAGAGAACUCGGGUGAAGGAACUAGGCAAAAUGGUGCCGUAACUUCGGGAGAAGGCACGCUGAUAUGUAGGUGAAGCCCCUGCGGGUGGAGCUGAAAUCAGUCGAAGAUACCAGCUGGCUGCAACUGUUUAUUAAAAACACAGCACUGUGCAAACACGAAAGUGGACGUAUACGGUGUGACGCCUGCCCGGUGCCGGAAGGUUAAUUGAUGGGGUUAUCCGUAAGGAGAAGCUCUUGAUCGAAGCCCCGGUAAACGGCGGCCGUAACUAUAACGGUCCUAAGGUAGCGAAAUUCCUUGUCGGGUAAGUUCCGACCUGCACGAAUGGCGUAAUGAUGGCCAGGCUGUCUCCACCCGAGACUCAGUGAAAUUGAACUCGCUGUGAAGAUGCAGUGUACCCGCGGCAAGACGGAAAGACCCCGUGAACCUUUACUAUAGCUUGACACUGAACAUUGAGCCUUGAUGUGUAGGAUAGGUGGGAGGCUUUGAAGCGUGGACGCCAGUCUGCGUGGAGCCAACCUUGAAAUACCACCCUUUAAUGUUUGAUGUUCUAACGUUGGCCCCUGACCGGGGUUGCGGACAGUGUCUGGUGGGUAGUUUGACUGGGGCGGUCUCCUCCCAAAGAGUAACGGAGGAGCACGAAGGUUAGCUAAUCCUGGUCGGACAUCAGGAGGUUAGUGCAAUGGCAUAAGCUAGCUUGACUGCGAGCGUGACGGCGCGAGCAGGUGCGAAAGCAGGUCAUAGUGAUCCGGUGGUUCUGAAUGGAAGGGCCAUCGCUCAACGGAUAAAAGGUACUCCGGGGAUAACAGGCUGAUACCGCCCAAGAGUUCAUAUCGACGGCGGUGUUUGGCACCUCGAUGUCGGCUCAUCACAUCCUGGGGCUGAAGUAGGUCCCAAGGGUAUGGCUGUUCGCCAUUUAAAGUGGUACGCGAGCUGGGUUUAGAACGUCGUGAGACAGUUCGGUCCCUAUCUGCCGUGGGCGCUGGAGAAUUGAGGGGGGCUGCUCCUAGUACGAGAGGACCGGAGUGGACGCAUCACUGGUGUUCGGGUUGUCAUGCCAAUGGCAUUGCCCGGUAGCUAAAUGCGGAAGAGAUAAGUGCUGAAAGCAUCUAAGCACGAAACUUGCCCCGAGAUGAGUUCUCCCUGAGACUUUAAGUCUCCUGAAGGAACGUUAAAGACGAUGACGUUGAUAGGUCGGGUGUGUAAGCGUAGCGAUACGUUGAGCUAACCGAUACUAAUGAACCGUGAGGCUUAACCUUACAACGCCGAAGGUGUUU
rnacentral:rRNA from 1 species